rnacentral:rRNA from 1 species
AUUGAACGCUGGCGGCAGGCCUAACACAUGCAAGUCGAGCGGAUGAAGGGAGCUUGCUCCUGGAUUCAGCGGCGGACGGGUGAGUAAUGCCUAGGAAUCUGCCUGGUAGUGGGGGAUAACGUCCGGAAACGGGCGCUAAUACCGCAUACGUCCUGAGGGAGAAAGUGGGGGAUCUUCGGACCUCACGCUAUCAGAUGAGCCUAGGUCGGAUUAGCUAGUUGGUGGGGUAAAGGCCUACCAAGGCGACGAUCCGUAACUGGUCUGAGAGGAUGAUCAGUCACACUGGAACUGAGACACGGUCCAGACUCCUACGGGAGGCAGCAGUGGGGAAUAUUGGACAAUGGGCGAAAGCCUGAUCCAGCCAUGCCGCGUGUGUGAAGAAGGUCUUCGGAUUGUAAAGCACUUUAAGUGGGGAGGAAGGGCAGUAAGUUAAUACCUUGCUGUUUUGACGUUACCAACAGAAGAAGCACCGGCUAACUUCGUG